CAAAUCAGUCCAUGGCUCGUUGUCGUUUCCUGGCGCUGCAUUUGUCAAACGCUGCGGAAUAAAUGAACCGCAACGACAAUGCCGAUUUGUAUCUCAUGGAUACUGCAGCAAUAACAAUAACAACAACAGCAACAACAACUGGCUUGGCCUGGCCUCAGCCCCAGCCCCAGCCCCAGCCCCAGCGCAUUUUCCAGGUGUGAGCGACCCACGUGGCCGCAGCUUGAGCUGAAACUGGGCAACUGGGCAACUGGUCAACUUGCGUUGGGUUGCAUAGUUUUUUUGUGAUGCAGUCGCAUAAAUCUCGGCUUUUGUGCACCAGCCACGUUCGUUAGUGACGCUUUUUUUCUCGAUUUGCCAAUAUUUGACAGGGGUAUCUCAAUAGCCCCGUCGAGAUAUACCAACAUUUAUCUAUGGCCAAGGCCCGCAAAGAUAUUGCUCUGUCCAAUUCAAUUGUGGCGUCGCGUCGUGGAGGCAUGCGCCCAGAAUUAAUGGCAUAUCCCUAGGGUUCGAUUAAAAUUCUAUCAAUACAGCACAUUGGAAAUGGGUUAGGUCUCUGUAUUCGUGCUGUUAUUCGAAACGUUCGAUCCGCAUACGGACUUUAGCUGAAAAAACAAUCAAAUGAUUCGCGAGACAAAUCAAUUUGAUGUAAACAAAUAUGACACCACAGCACAUUUAUUCCACUAUACAAACAAUGUUCUUGUAAUUUGAUAUUGCAGCAAGGCAGUAACUUUUAAUUUUAAUUUGCUAAUCGCAGUAAUUUUAAGAGACUUAUUAUUAGAAUAUAUGCUCUCAGAUGAAAACUAAUAUACUGCUGUAAAUAGAUGAAAGCACUCACUAAAUUAAAGUAUCCAAUAUUUUUAUAUACUGCAUGCGUUUACUUUUGACGCUGUCUAACCAUAAACAAAUAAAUUCUUUUGUUUACAAAUGUUAAAGUA